AAUCGGAACAUCCGGUUAUUAGGGACUCAGCAGAGGCUAUUGCGGAGUAAACGCUCUCGCUUUGCCUCUUCCGCUAUACUUUCAAGAGGCCACACAGACCGAAGGAGAGUUGCCACCUUUUGUGGUGUUGUCAAUAUUCAGACAUAUUCCACAUCUCCUCACUGGCUCCCCUCCAGGGCAAACUGACGGUGAUCAGCUAAUGUUUACAAGGUCAGUGCAAGUGUUUGAUGUGGAUACAAUGUGGAGCAAUGCUUGGAUGUGCGAAAGGAUGACAGUACUGCAACUGGACAGGAAGUAAAAGAUUAAUUCACAUCAAUAACCACAUUUCCACCAAGUGUUUAUUUGAGUAAAGUCAUACCUUAUUAAAAAAAAAAAAUGUUCUAUGGUGGAAUCUUUUUGUGUCUGUAAAAUUAAUUAUGUGCCAAAUGGCUGUGAAAACACAGAUAUUGAUAUAAUAACCAUCAUAUGGAAGUAAACUUAGUGUCACGUGAUGAUAUGGUGUGUGGUCCUACUACAACUCCGGAAACCAUGCAGUUUAUUAGGAUACAGAUUAAAUUAUGAUGAACUUCACAGGGUGGUGAAAGUGCACGGUGAUGAACUUGAUGCUGCUUUACAAUAAGUAUCUAGGGUCUUAUUCUGGUGACAUGAUGAUCGAUGCUUGACUGCCUUUUGACCAAUACAAAUAUUCUCGCUCUUUAUCCAUAAUAAUCUAAUCAUGUAGACUAGCCUACUGUACCAGCACAGCCUACCUGCACUGUGUCUGUGAGCUGUUGGCUAGAGCGCACGUGCCAAGACCAGAAUAGGCACAUUUUCUAUUUAACUCAGCAGUUUUUGUGACAAAACUAUCUGUAGAAUUGAACUUUAGAUUUGUAUUCGAUACAUGAAAAUUUAAGCAAAAAAUUACAUUUUGUGCACUGUCAUCACUUACCCAUUUUUAUCUGCAGCAAGUCCAUUUGUCUCUUGGGCUCAAACUAGACAUACAAAUUCUCCUGUUGACUGGGCUUCCUUCAGAGCACUAUAAAACAAAUUUGCAGGAUUGACCAGGAAAUCCAAAUCCGAUUUAUAUCUAUCUAAAUGCAGUCACAGAGAACCUAAACAACCAUACCAAGUUCUGGAAGCUAAUCAAAUCAGUGUCAGGUUCUAAUGUAUCCUCUGACGUUCCUGACCAUUUAUUAAUGGUGGAUUUUAGUGAAGUGAAGGAUAAAGCUGAUAUUGUAUGGGGUUUUUAAACAAGCACUUCAUAUCUGCUGGCUCAAUUUUUGAUAAUGGUGGGUCCCAGGCCUCUAAUGUAAGCUCUGUUACAGUAAACUAAGAUAUAGGCCCUCAUGUGAACCAUUUUAACUUUGAGCCUGUUUCUUAUGCUGAUAGCAGCUGGUAUUAGUACUGAACCUGUGGCUCACAUUUUCAACUUGAGCCUCUUGACCAAUUCCCUACCCAGCAUUUGGAAAUCAGCUCAUGUCCUCCCACUGCUAAAGGGUGGAGAUCCCUCAGAUGCUAAUAAUUAUUGUCCUAUCUCCAAACUCCCUAACCUGGCCAACGUCUAUGAAUCCCUAGUGAACUCAGUUAAAAAAACUUCUUAAUUGAAAAGAACAUACUGAGCGGGGUUCAGUCUGGCUUUAGAUUGGGGCCCAGUACCACAACUGCAGCUAUGGCAGUGACAAAUGACAUCACUAAUGCACUUCAUAAAAAGCAGCAUUGUGCUGCUCUGUUUGUUGAUUUAUCAAAGGCAUUUGAUUCAGUUGACCAUGAAUUGUUGCUAGCUAGACUCAGUAACAUUGGUCUCAGUGAAGGGGCAGUAAAUUGGUUUAGGAACAAUCUUUCUGACAGAACACAAUGUGUAUAUACUGACAAUCACAAGUCUAGCUUUCUAGAGAUUAAUAUAGGUGUGCUCCAGGGUUCCAUUUUAUCUCCUGUGUUGUUUUCAAUUUGUAUUAAUGAUUUGGGAAAUGAGAUGCAACCAGCAAAGUUGCAUCUAUAUGCAUAUGAUACAGUCAUAUAUUAAUGUGGUCCUUCUCUGGUUCUGUAAUGAACACAAUGGGAGACAGAGAGCUGGUUUCAAGCGCAGGGUGUUUAAUUGUAAAGGACAACAGAAGGAGGCAGGUAGCUGGGUCCAGGGGCAGGCAGAAGGUCAUACACAGGGGGUCUGCAAGCCUUCCUUUAUUGUCUACAACUGGUCUUGAAUGUACAAAACAUGUAUGACCUUUACCAGAGCUCGUACUCAGACAGAGAAGGUUAGCAUUUUCACAUCUUGUGGCUUAUCCGUUGAAAAAGUGUCAUCCUACAAAUACCUUUUAUAUGGUUGGAUGACAAGUUGUCCUUUAAAGUUCAUAUUGAUAAUCUUGUGAGGAAGCUUAAAUUGAAAUUGGGUUUUUACUUUCGUAAUAAGGCUUGCUUCCCGCUUAUGGCUAGAAAGAAGCUUGUUCAGGCCACUUUUCUCUCUGUAAUUGAUUAUGGUGACUUGUUGUAUAUGCAUGCAGACUCCUCUGUCUUACAGAGAUUGGACUCUGUUAAUCAUGCAUCCUCGAGCUUUAUUACAAAGGCCAAGUCACUCACCCACCAUUGCACCUUGUACCAAAAUGUUUGGUUGGACCUCACAAAUGUGCCUUUAUGUGCAUAUAAAGUAUGUGUUCAUCUACAAAGCCCUCUUUACCUAUGUAGUCUGGUCUCCUUCACCACCAGCAGUUACCAUAUCCGGUCUGCUAGGUGGUUGCUACUUAAUAAGGCCCCCAGGACAUUUACAGUAUUAGGCAAGACUGCCUUCUCAUCUUGUGCAACAGAGCCAAGGAAUAGUCUACAAUCCAUGCUGCAUCUAGAUAUGUUAGUGCCUCUGAAUGAAUUUACAUUUUUGAUGGGAGACUGUUACAGAGGAGUGUAAAUGCUUAUUGAGGCUGGAUCAUGUUGUUGAAUUGUAUUGUAUUGUUGUACGUUUUAGUUCUGUAAUGUAUUGAUUGUUGCUGCCUUCUUGAAAAAUACUCUUGGUCUCAAUGGGCUUUUUUCCUGGUUAAAUAAAGGUUAAAUAAAUCAAACAAAAUUUGUUAUAAUUCUACACCAAAAUGUAAAAUAUUUCUGAUUGAAUCUAAUAAUCUAGUUAAGACAUCCAUAGUUAAUAACAAAAAGAAUGACAUGUUCUUCAGUCAUUAUAAUGCAAUUUUUUUCUGAGUGAAUACAAUUGCCCUUUUUUUCCUUAUUUUUAGUACAUAUGUAUUUAAAGUGUCUUCUUGUUUUUACCUGUGUGGUUUGUUUUGCGUUAGACAUGUUUGAUGUAGUGAUGUAAAUUGUUGAUUGCUGGUAAUUUGUAUUUUAAAAAGCAAGUCCACUUUGAGGAAAAAAAAAACACUAGUUGAAGAAUUCACAUGUUGUUUUCUUUAUGCAGAUUCUAGAAUAUUUGCAUGAAAAUCUGUCUCCAAUUGAAUGGAAACCAAGUUUGUGUGUGUGUGUGUGUGUGUCUAAUGGCCUUUUGUGAUAUCAGCCAUAGCAUUGGUGUUUACUCUCAACAUGAAACAUUAACAUUAGCAGCUCUUCGGGACUAAUUUCCAUAAGUGAAACAUGUAUGUAGCCGUCUUUUGCUGUGUUCACGUACUAGUCGGUACUAGGAAAUUCAGAAAUGUACGACUUGCUAACUGGUUGUAGUUGUAAACGUGCCACGUUCAACCAGUUAGCAAGUCGGAAAUGUCAGUUUCCUAGUACCGACUAGCACAUGAACGCGGCAUUUAUCAACAUCCCUGUACUAAUAAGGAAGAGGAACGUUGAAACGUGUCACCUGUUCAGUGGCAACCCGUCAUUCAGGGCAGGUUGGGCAGAGCCCCACCUGUU